UGUGUGUGUGUAUAUGUGUAUGUGUAAGUAUGAGGUCACAGUAUAUCUGAGUGUGUGUAUGUGUAUAUGAGUGUGUCACAGUAUGUCUGAGUGUGUGUAUGCAUAUAUGAGUGUGUAUAUGUACAUGUAUAUGUAUGUGUAAGUAUGAGGUCACAGUAUGUCUGAGUGUGUGUAUGCGUAUAUGAGUGUGUAUA